rnacentral:rRNA from 1 species
UACGUAGGUGGCAAGCGUUGUCCGGAAUUAUUGGGCGUAAAGCGCGCGCAGGCGGUUCCUUAAGUCUGAUGUGAAAGCCCCCGGCUCAACCGGGGAGGGUCAUUGGAAACUGGGGAACUUGAGUACUGAAGAGGAAAGCGGAAUUCCACGUGUAGCGGUGAAAUGCGUAGAGAUGUGGAGGAACACCGGUGGCGAAGGCGGCAUCCUGGACCGGCAUUGACGCUGAGGAGCGAAAGCCAGGGGAGCAAACGGGG